CAGCUGCCUGCUCUAUGAAAAUGAGGCUCUAUUUCAGAUACCUGAAGUGAAGAACCAUCAUUCCUUCACUGAUUUUUGAAAAUGUGGGUCACCAUACGUAAGGUAGUGACCCACAUCCAGAGCAGAACAUCCAUUGCCUGGGAGGGCCACAAGGACAAGGACCACCUAUGUCCUACUGAAAUUGCACAAGCGGGAGGCAGCCUGCAAAGCCUUAUCUUGUUGUGUGCUGAUUGUGAGCUGGAGACAACAGCAAGUAACAGCGCAGAGCAGACGUCAUUCCGAAAUGGCCGGCUGCCCUGUACAUACAGCACAAAGGCAGUAAACUCCUUAUCUCACCAUCCUAUAAAUCUUUGUUGACCAUCUCUGUAUGUGUCUCCAUAAGAACAUUUGAUCUAAUAGCCUUUUUAAAAAUUUCCCUUCAUUUUCCAGUAUAACCCCCCAGUGAAUCAUUAAUGUAACAAGAUAAAGAUCUCUAGCUAAGGAAUUAUUCUUAUUAUAAAGUUCCCAAGUUCUAGUAGCAAACCUCUCCAGGGUAUAUAUUAAACCAAAAAGGUCCCACACAAUCAUUUAAAUCUACAAAAUUCAAUUCAUUUCUGACUCCCUCCAGGCACUUGUUUUAUAGUUAUCUAAUAAAGGGGAGUUGUGGCUGUUAAAUGAUAAAGUCUCCAAAGGGGACGUGGGAAUUCUGCACACUAGUCCCCAACAUUUGCUGGGAAGCUUUAUUCCUCCAUCUCGCCCUCAUCCCUUUUGAAAAGGAAACCUUUCAAAGUCUUGCAAAAUGAAUAGAUGAUUCUGUUUUUAAAGAAAAGCAAAGUCCAUAAAAUUUCCUUACAUAAAUGUACUGCUCGAGGAUAUAGGUUACAAGAAGAUUAAGCACUUAAUUGUUCCAGAAAUUAUGUGUAUGCCUUCA